rnacentral:lncRNA from 1 species
AAAGCAAAAACAGUUUAAAUAUGUUUGCAAAUGUAUUUUAAAAAACGGACAUAUAACAUCUAUGUAAAUAUUCUGAACCUUUACUUACUAUUUUGUUGAAGCACCUUUGGCAGCGAUUACAGCUUUGAGUCUAAUUGGAAAUGACACUAGAAGCUUGACACAUAUGUAUUUGGGGAGUUUCUCCCAUUCUUCUCCGCAGAUCCUCUCCAGCUCUGUCAGGUUGGAUGGGAAUGUCUCUCCAUGUUCAUGUAUCUCCAGAGAUGUAAGAUCGAGUUCAAGUCCGGGCUCUGGCUUGGCCACUCAAGGACUUUCAGAGACCUGUCCCGAAGCCACUCCUGUGUGGCUGUGUACUAAGGGUCGUUGUCCUGUUGGGAAGGUGAACCUUUGCUCCAGUCUGAGGUCCUGUUUCUCUCCACCAGGCAUGCUGGGAUACCUCUUAUGCCACGAGCAACUCAGCCCCCCCAUCCUCCAUCCCUUUGGCCCGACUCCAUCUGUCAAAUGCCUGUGUUUAGAAGAGAUACUUCUUUCAAACAUCCUGGACCCAAUAAAUCAGUGAAAGGGGGACUCUUUACUUUUGGAAGACUGUGAAACGUCUAUUGUGACACAUGUGAAGAAAAGGGAAGCAUUCCACCCAACUGCAAUUCGUAUACUGCAAAUGGAAUCUUGUUUACUAUACGGUUCUCAACCUACAGCAUAUUGUUACAGGGAAUGUUUUACUUGGCCUGAAAUAUGUUCGAUAAAGAGAAUAAUGAUGACACGUCCUCUAUUUGUAUUGAUAUAUGUUUUGUUAUAUCUGCUGCUUUGUAGUAGAGUGUUUGUUUGAAUGGAAUAUGUUUAGGUUGUGGUGUCAUGCUCGUUUGCGCAGAACGCCGCAAACGGUUGGCACUGUGUAUCCAGACACUUUUGAAAAAAAUACACCUUGGGCUCUCGUUGCCCUAUUAAGUCUGCAUGUUUCACUGACACCCCACCAUCUUGCCCCAUCUUCAACUGACAAAACACAUUACCCUAGCGCAAGCCCAUACAGAUUUUCAUCCAGUUUUGAUAAAACUCGUGCAGAUUCUCCAUCACUUGAGAAGGCAUGGCAUAGAAUGGUGAGCAAAUUGUUGAUUUGAAAUUCAGUGGACUUAAAAUGAACAUUUGUCCAGAUACUCUGUGCAGCCUUGCUCCCCCCCCAAUUGGAAAUUAUAAUGAAAUCCAAGAAGCCUAAAUUUGAGAACAUAAACACUUGUAUUUAUGCCCGCCGUGCCUAAAAUUGGGCUAGAGAUGAUCAUUUGAUUUUUCUUUAUUUUGGCACUUUCUUCUUUGAGUAACUUGUCCUUUUUUCAAGAUUUUUGUUUGGAAUUUCUUUUUAAAACCAAUGGGUGAGAUUAGAUUGAUGCUGAGGAGCGGACAUGAAGAUAUUAUGUCAUAUAAGACUCGCCCAGUAGUAUGUCAAAAAUCUGUUUAAGGUGAACCGCACUUUUACGUUUAGGGUCGGUUUCCUAGACACAGAUCAAGCAUAGUCCAUUUCUAAAAAGCAUUCUCAAUGGAGAUUCUCCAUUUGAAAGUGCUUUCUAGUCCAGGACUUGGCUAAAUCUGUGUUUGAGAAACCGGACCCUGAUUGCUAUGAGAGACUGGCCACCACCCUACUCCACCUCUCCUUUCCUAAGUCAAAUAUAUAGGAAUUGGUCAUGAUUUUCUUGUAUUUUGCCUUUUUACACUUUACGUAAGAGCAGCAUAUUUAUUUAUUUGAUUCUGUUUAAAGAUUCUUUGUUCAAACAUUUUUACUGUUCUUUUUUCCUUUGCUUGUCGAGCCAUAUUGAUGAAUGGUAUUAUCUUUACGUUUCCCAACUUCCUUGUUGGAUCUUACACAAUGAUCUUCUUGCGACACUCAACCAAAGUUGUUGCUUUGCAAACCAUUAAUUGACAUCACUUUUGCUUCUGCAUCUCAACAUUUUACAGUCACCAAGCAGCCACAAAUAUAUGGACUUAUUUCCUAUCAUCCUUUAUGUAUAAUGCUACCUCAUUUUCCUGCACAUUUGCAGAGACAUUUCUUGAUUGAGCCACCAUGUAAUAUUUGUAUUUUCAGAUUCUUUGGGAAGUACAGAUUGUGAAUCUCAUCGCUAUCAGAACUACAGUAAGUGUAUGUAAGUUGUGUGUCGGUUCUAUUCAACUCUAUUUUUUUGUUUAUUUGUUGCUUAGUUUUCAUUUUAGACUCGGGCUUAAAAGGAUCAUUUUGUGUUGUUUGAUCUAAAAACAUUUUAAAUGGAUACCCGAAUAACACAAAGUCCGCAUUUGACUAGAUAUAAACUGGACAGUUAUGUGUUUUGUCUGUUUUAUCCUGCACCAAUUUAGUUUACAUUUAGAUGAAGCUUACUUUUAUAGUAGACAAUUGUGUCUUUCUAAUACAAUGGUCAUCAGUCUCUUCAGGUUUAUCUGUCGUGCUUUGGUCACCCUCUGCUUGAGAAAUAUAUCUCAUAUUCAACUACUUGUUUAAUUGUUGGUAAAUUGUAAGAAGGCGAGGCCUGAGUUUAUCGUUUGAUCUACCCAAUUAAUGAAAGGGACCAUGAGCCGAAACUAUAAGAGAGACCUUUUAGAAAUACAGGCUUUCUUUCAGGCCUCUCUCCUCUUUUUUAUACUUCUUUAAUUCAGGGUAUUACAAACUCUUUGAAUCCAAUCUUUUUACUCAAUUUAAAAUCUUCCUAUAGUGUG